CCAAUAGCGUAUAUUAAAGUUGUUGCAGUUAAAAAGCUCGUAGUUGAAUUUCGGGAUUGGCGCAUCGGUCGUGCCUCACGGGGUAUGAACUGGUGCAGUCAAUUUCUCACCUUCUGGAGAACCGCGAUGUCCUUAAUUGGAUGCCGCGGGGAACCAGGACCUUUACUUUGAAAAAAUUAGAGUGUUUAAAGCAGGCAUUUUUGCUUGAAUACAUUAGCAUGGAAUAAUAAAAUAGGACGGCAUGGUUCUAUUUUGUUGGUUUCUAGAACCACCGUAAUGAUUAAUAGGGAUAGUUGGGGGCAUUAGUAUUCAAUUGUCAGAGGUUAAAUUCUUGGAUUUAUUGAAGACUAACUACUGCGAAAGCAUUUGCCAAGGAUGUUUUCAUUAAUCAAGAACGAAAGUUAGGGGAUCGAAGACGAUCAGAUACCGUCGUAGUCUUAACCAUAAACUAUGCCGACUAGGAAUCAGACGAUGUUAAUUUUUUAAUGACUCGUUUGGCACCUUACG
rnacentral:rRNA from 1 species